rnacentral:tRNA from 1 species
GCCUUAGCUCAGAUGGUAGAGCAGUUGAUUUGUAAUCAUCAGGUCGGGGGUUCGAUUCCUCCAGGCG